rfam:Cavia porcellus supercont2_0 genomic scaffold, whole genome shotgun sequence.
GGGGAUUUAGCUUAGCGGCAUAAGCACCUGCCUUGCAAGCAGGUGUUUGUGAGUUCGAUCCCUG